ACCAUUUCUUGGCCUUUAGGCUAAGACCCAGCAUAGCAUCUGUUCUUUUCAGUCGAAUAUACUAUGUCUUCUGUCUAAGAAUAAUAUAUGCAGUGAAUUUCUGAAGCAGGGAGAUAGAAGGGGAACUUGAUACAUCUACUUCAUAAUCAACCUGGUACUGUAGAACCUCAGGAACAAUAUACCUUUC